AUCUAAGUACCCCGAGGAAAAGAAAUCAACCGAGAUUCCCCCAGUAGCGGCGAGCGAACGGGGAGCAGCCCAGAGCCUGAAUCAGUGUGUGUGUUAGUGGAAGCGUCUGGAAAGGCGCGCGAUACAGGGUGACAGCCCCGUACACAAAAAUGCACAUGCUGUGAGCUCGAUGAGUAGGGCGGGACACGUGGUAUCCUGUCUGAAUAUGGGGGGACCAUCCUCCAAGGCUAAAUACUCCUGACUGACCGAUAGUGAACCAGUACCGUGAGGGAAAGGCGAAAAGAACCCCGGCGAGGGGAGUGAAAAAGAACCUGAAACCGUGUACGUACAAGCAGUGGGAGCCUCUUUUAUGGGGUGACUGCGUACCUUUUGUAUAAUGGGUCAGCGACUUAUAUUCUGUAGCAAGGUUAACCGAAUAGGGGAGCCGAAGGGAAACCGAGUCUUAACUGGGCGUUAAGUUGCAGGGUAUAGACCCGAAACCCGGUGAUCUAGCCAUGGGCAGGUUGAAGGUUGGGUAACACUAACUGGAGGACCGAACCGACUAAUGUUGAAAAAUUAGCGGAUGACUUGUGGCUGGGGGUGAAAGGCCAAUCAAACCGGGAGAUAGCUGGUUCUCCCCGAAAGCU
rnacentral:rRNA from 1 species